rnacentral:rRNA from 1 species
CCUACGGGCGGCAGCAGUGGGGAAUCUUCCGCAAUGGGCGCAAGCCUGACGGAGCAACGCCGCGUGAGUGAAGAAGGUCUUCGGAUCGUAAAGCUCUGUUGAUGGGGACGAAUGUACGGAGUGCGAAUAGUGCUCUGUAAUGACGGUACCUAUCGAGGAAGCCACGGCUAACUACGUGCCAGCAGCCGCGGUAAUACGUAGGUGGCGAGCGUUGUCCGGAAUCAUUGGGCGUAAAGGGAGCGCAGGCGGGCAUAUAAGUCUUUCUUAAAAGUGCGGGGCUCAACCCCGUGAUGGGAAAGAAACGAUAUGUCUUGAGUACAGGAGAGGAAAGCGGAAUUCCCAGUGUAGCGGUGAAAUGCGUAGAUAUUGGGAGGAACACCAGUGGCGAAGGCGGCUUUCUGGACUGCAACUGACGCUGAGGCUCGAAAGCCAGGGGAGCGAACGGGAUUAGAUACCCGAGUAGUC